CCUACGGGGGGCAGCAGUGGGGAAUAUUGGACAAUGGGGGGAACCCUGAUCCAGCCAUGCCGCGUGUGUGAAGAAGGCCCUCGGGUUGUAAAGCACUUUCAGUGAGGAAGAACGCCUGGUGGUUAAUACCCAUCAGGAAAGACAUCACUCACAGAAGAAGCACCGGCUAACUCCGUGCCAGCAGCCGCGGUAAUACGGAGGGUGCGAGCGUUAAUCGGAAUUACUGGGCGUAAAGCGCGCGUAGGUGGCUUGAUAAGCCGGUUGUGAAAGCCCGGGGCUCAACCUGGGAACGGCAUCCGGAACUGUCAAGCUAGAGUGCAGGAGAGGAAGGUAGAAUUCCCGGUGUAGCGGUGAAAUGCGUAGAGAUCGGGAGGAAUACCAGUGGCGAAGGCGGCCUUCUGGACUGACACUGACACUGAGGUGCGAAAGCGUGGGUAGCAAACAGGAUUAGAUACCCUGGUAGUC
rnacentral:rRNA from 1 species